CGUCGUUAAUAUGUUUGUUAUAUUUUGUUGGCGGAAUAUGAAAGUUCAUCAGCAAGCCCGCACACAGGGAAAGCAUAUUGAAAUGAGCAUCGCAGAUCUGUCAGGCUGGAGUUUAUGGCCUUUUCUCAGUACUACACUGCGACUUCCAGGAAGGGUUCAGGCGCCCUCACUGGGGAACUACAUUCUCUGAACAGGACUUUGUAGAUGCCGAUGCUGUCUAAAUGGAUUACAAAGCUUUGUGAAUGAUAUAAUCUAUCCUUUAUGGAUCUCCCAACAGAAUUGCCAAAUAUUGGAGCAAAAUAUAUGUAUGUUUCAUAUCAA